GAUGAACGCUAGCUACAGGCUUAACACAUGCCAGUCGAGGGGAAACGGCAUCGAAAGCUUGCUUUUGAUGGGCGUCGACCGGCGCACGGGUGAGUAACGCGUAUCCAACCUGCCCAUCACUUGGGAAUAACCUUGCGAAAGUAAGACUAAUGCCCAAUGACAUCCCACGAAGGCAUCCGAAUGGGAUUAAAGAUUUAUCGGUGAUGGAUGGGGAUGCGUCUGAUUAGCUUGUUGGCGGGGUGACGGCCCACCAAGGCAACGAUCAGUAGGGGUUCUGAGAGGAAGGUCCCCCACAUUGGAACUGAGACACGGUCCAAACUCCUACGGGAGGCAGCAGUGAGGAAUAUUGGUCAAUGGGCGAGAGCCUGAACCAGCCAAGUAGCGUGCAGGAGGACGGCCCUAUGGGUGGUAAACUGCUUUUAUAAGGGAAUAAAGUGGGUCACGUGUGACUUUUUGCAUGUACCUUAUGAAUAAGGACCGGCUAAUUCCGUG
rnacentral:rRNA from 1 species